GUUGCUUAAGACUUCCACACAAUUUGGAUGGGCUUUCCUGUGUUCUUCUUCUUCGCCUCUCCAGCACCCAAUGUCGAUUAGGUUUUCUCAAUAGCUCUUUCAUCUUCUUCCUCAGCGUACGAAACGAUACUAUCAAUAAAUAAUCAUCUUUAAAAAAAACCUCCAUUAAUCUCUCACACACGAUCUAUAAUCAAUGUGAUUUUUGGAUCUACAAGGCGGUGGAGGUUCAUCUAUAAAAAUAGACGAGCCGCUCCACCUCCACUGUUCGAGUCCAGUUGCUCCUUCUCGGUUCUCACUUCUCAGGGAGCUGGUGGACCAGAGGAGGAAGAUAGUUGAUAGCCGACAUGCCUGAAACCUCUGCUUAAAGAGCAGUUCUUUGUUCAGUGCAAGUUUCAUGUAGACUCACAAGGGUGAUUGCAAUAUGUAUUACUUAGACUGCACCAACGGUGAGCUUUGCUCUCUUUGUCUUGCCCACCAUAAAGGUCACCUCAUCAUCCAAUCCAAAUAGGUCAAUCUUUAGGUCUAUAUAGGUCUAUGUAUCAAUAGCCUGCCACAAUUCUUGGAUCCAUAACGAUUUUAUCCUUCAUCCAAUCAGUGAAUCUCCACUUAUAAAAAAGGGUGUUUGGAAAAGGUUAGUGGAGGAGAUGGUGGUGGUGGUAGCCAACAUCAUGACGGCACUGAAACUGAUAGGAAGAAGAAACGUUAUAGCGUCACACUGCUCAACAGAUUCAACGACUUGAAUCGAGUUUCAAGGAGUGUCCUCAUCCAGAUGAUAAGCAGAGGAACCAACUUAGCAGGGAAUUGGGUUUGGCUCCAAGACAAAUCAAGUUCUUGUUCCAGAACAGAAGAACUCAGCUUAAUGCGCAACAUGAGAGAGCAGAUAACAAUGCACUAAAGGCAGAGAACGACAAGAUUCGAUGUGAGAACAUAGCCACUAGAGCAGCACUCAAGCAUGAUAUAUGCCUUAAUUGUGAAGAUCCUUACUUCGAUGAGCAUAAGCCCCGGAUCGAAAAUGCACAUCUUAGAGAUGAGCUUGAAAGAAAGUCAACGUUUGCAUCAAAGUACAUGGGAAGACCAAUCUCCUCCCACCUCUCAACGCUACAUCCAAUGCAAAUCUCACCGUUGGAUCUGUCCAUGACUGGUCCUUCACUGGAUUUUGAUCUUCUUCCAGGGAGUUCUAUGCAUUCUCAGUCUAAUAACUUGGCUACUAUAUCAGACAUGGACAAGCCUCUUAUGAACGACAUUGCUUUGACUGCGAUGGAAGAAUUGCUUAG